rnacentral:rRNA from 1 species
UCCGUAGGCGGGCUAAUAAGUCAGGGGUGAAAUACCACAGCUUAACUGUGGAACUGCCUUUGAAACUGUUAGUCUUGAGUUAUAUGGAAGUAGAUAGAAUGUGUAGUGUAGCGGUGAAAUGCAUAGAGAUUACACAGAAUACCGAUUGCGAAGGCAGUCUACUACGUAUAUACUGACGCUAAUGGACGAAAGCGUGGGGAGCGAACAGGAUUAGAUACCCUGGUAGUC